rnacentral:tRNA from 1 species
GGGAUUUAUUAAUAUUUAUUUUGAACAUAAAUUAAGUAGUUUGGUAAUUACAAAUCCCU